UACGAAGGGGGCUAGCGUUGCUCGGAAUGGCUGGACGUAAAGGGCGCGUAGGCGGAUUGUACAGUCAGGCGUGAAAUUCCCGGGCUCAACCUGGGGGCUGCGCUUGAGACGUGCGAUCUUGAGUGGGGAAGAGGGUCGUGGAAUUCCCAGUGUAGAGGUGAAAUUCGUAGAUAUUGGGAAGAACACCGGUGGCGAAGGCGGCGACCUGGUCCUUGACUGACGCUGAGGCGCGAAAGCGUGGGGAGCAAACAGG
rnacentral:rRNA from 1 species